AGCCAGUUGCUUGAUUCUGUUCUUGAACAGGAGGGUUUCCAGAUUGGUUCAGUAUGUGGAAAGAAAAAAAGGAAAGCAAUAAAGCUUCAUAAAUCUGACCUACACAAUGAUGUUAUUCGCAAAGAUGAAAAUGCACUUUCUUUUCUUAGCUCUAUCCUUGAUAUUUUGCUACUAAAGAAAGACAUAGAGAAAACAUCUCCUCCCAUGACCAUGCCAAGCAGCUCAUAGCAGCAACUGCUUCCUCUGCCCCCAGGAGACCCUAUUUUACAACAACAAUCACACCAACCGACUACGACCGUGGUUACCCUUAUCUGAAUAUCCCCAGAGAAUUUUGGAGAUCAAACGAUAUCAUAACUAAGGCAGCAUAAGCUCUCAGAGAUCCACUGAAUAGGUGGUGGCCAGUGAAACUUAGAUUACCAAGCGGGGGCAUCGGUUAAGCUGGGGAUGUGGUUGGCAUGAGUACUAUGAAUCCAAGAAGCUCAAGGUAGGAGAUCCUCUUCGUCUUUGAGCUCAAUCCCACCUCACCAGAAACUCCAAAUCCUGUUCUAGAUGUUUGAACCCUUCCUCCACAGAAGAAGAUACUACUUACAUUUUGGAUGGUUGAUUCUCCGUGAUUUUUUGUUUUUGGUUAUGAAUGUUUUUGAAUUUGGAAAAAAUGUGGUGUUUGCUCGAGCAGAUUCUCUGAUCUACCUUAUUAAUCAUUUCUUUGGCCGGUUUGUCUACU